rnacentral:rRNA from 1 species
ACGGGUGAGUAAUAUAUCGGAACGUGCCCUAGAGUGGGGGAUAACUAGUCGAAAGACUAGCUAAUACCGCAUACGAUCUACGGAUGAAAGUGGGGGAUCGCAAGACCUCAUGCUCCUGGAGCGGCCGAUAUCUGAUUAGCUAGUUGGUGGGGUAAAAGCCUACCAAGGCAACGAUCAGUAGCUGGUCUGAGAGGACGACCAGCCACACUGGGACUGAGACACGGCCCAGACUCCUACGGGAGGCAGCAGUGGGGAAUUUUGGACAAUGGGGGCAACCCUGAUCCAGCAAUGCCGCGUGAGUGAAGAAGGCCUUCGGGUUGUAAGGCUCUUUUGUCAGAGAAGAAACGGUAGUAGCGAAUAACUAUUACUAAUGACGGUACCUGAAGAAUAAGCACCGGCUAACUACGUGCCAGCAGCCGCGGUAAUACGUAGGGUGCAAGCGUUAAUCGGAAUUACUGGGCGUAAAGCGUGCGCAGGCGGUUGUGUAAGUCAGAUGUGAAAUCCCCGGGCUCAACCUGGGAAUUGCAUUUGAGACUGCACGGCUAGAGUGUGUCAGAGGGGGGUAGAAUUCCACGUGUAGCAG